UACGUAGGUGGCAAGCGUUAUCCGGAAUUAUUAGGCGUAAAGCGCUCGCAGGCGGUUUCUUAAGUCUGAUGUGAAAGCCCACGGCUCAACCGUGGAGGGUCAUUGGAAACUGGGGAACUUGAGUGCAGAAGAGGAGAGUGGAAUUCCACGUGUAGCGGUGAAAUGCGUAGAGAUGUGGAGGAACACCAGUGGCGAAGGCGACUCUCUGGUCUGUAACUGACGCUGAGGAGCGAAAGCGUGGGGAGCAAACAGG
rnacentral:rRNA from 1 species